UAUAUAUGUAUGCAUGCACGUACCUAUGUAUACGUGUAUGUAUAUAUACGAUGCAGUGUGGAAGAUGGGGUGAAACAGGUCACGAGUGGAAGUGGCGAGACCAGGCAGCACCCUUGGCUCCUGUGGGCGUGUCUGCCCCCUCUGGCUCCACAAAUGUAAGUAUAUCCACAGAGCCAGCCACCGGGAGAAAUCUUCCAGUGCACGAAUGGGACGGCGAGGGAGUUUCUGAAAUGGCUGUGAGCGAGCGAAGAGCAAGACAGUGUGACCUGGCAUACCCAGCAGACGUUCGGGGGUGAGGGUUUUGCCUGGUGUCCCGUGCACGUCCUUCGUUUUCCAGGUUUUCCAGAAACACACGAGUAGGUUGACUUGACAUAAUUUUGUAUCACUUGAGCCUGCUUGUUCUGUAGAUUAAUUUGGAAACCGCUGACAUCCGUAGAAUAGUCAUUUUUGGCCUCCUCUAGAAGCACAGCUCUGCUUCUUUGAAGCUCAUUUGGAUAAUUUUGAAGACCACCCUGGGGGAGGUGCCUCACGUCCCCCCAUCUCAGAAGUACGUGGCUUCUAAGGAGUUGUCGUUUUACAAGGGCCCACUUUCUUUAAGAAAUUACAGCAUCCAGAGAAACAGUGAUCCUGACGCUGGGCGGCUGAGGGAAGGGAGGGUCUCCCACCCGAGGCCUUUCUUGGAUGUGUAGGGCUUGGACACAGGUCGAUGCCGGGCACCAGGAUGGGAGGCCCGCGGUGGCUUGCCGGCGGGCUCGGUGGGCUCCGCUGGGCCAGCAGCCGGUGAUGGGGAAGAGUGAGGGCAGGGAAAAGAGAAACUGCGAGCGGCACAGAAAAAGUUAAGCAGGGGCUGAGUAACCCCCUUCCCCUGCGGGCUCACCAACAGGAAGUACUUGGUAGAGGUGAGAAACCUUUUGUUAAACGGCAGAAUUCAGAAUGUUUGACAGUCUUCUGGUUUUUUGUUGUUUUAGUAAAUGUUGAGAAAUAUAAAAGAAUCCUUAUAAAAUGCGUGUUUGGUAUAAAAGUAACGUAACGAAUUCCUGUGUACUGCCACGAAGUUCGAGAUUGCGUGGAGCCUUCCCUCCUGGGUCUGGUUCCCUGUCCUCGCCCCUUAGAGAUAACUGCUAUCUAUCCUGAAUAUUGGUAUAAUCCCCUUCCUUUUCUUCAUGGUUUUGCCUCAAAUAUUUGUAUCCUUCCACAACAUAUUGUUUACGUUUGAUGUUUUUGAACUUCACGUAAAUGGAAUCAUGGAGAAAGAAUACGUUUCUGCACCUAGUUCUUUUCACUCACCUUUAUCCUCAGCUUUAACUGCCAUGUGUAGUUCUGCACAAUUUCACAGCCUUGUGCGGACAUAAUACAUUUUGCUUCUGUUUUCUGCUGUUGACAGACAUUUCAGUUUGUUCCAGCUUUUAUUGUUUUUUUUUUGUUUGUUUCUGUUUCACUGUCGCACACAGUUCUGUGACUGUGCAUGUUGUAAAGGUCAUUCCUUAAGGGUAUACCUAGGAAUACAAUGUUUGCAUUAUAGGUAUGCAUAUCUUCUAUUUUACUAAAUAAAGGCAGUUAUUUCCAGAUGUAUAUAAGAGUUCCAGUAAUUUCAUGUCCUUGCCAACAUUUGAUAGAGUCAGACAUUAAAAUGUUUGCCAGUAUUGUGAAUUUUGAAGUAUCUCAGAGAAGUUUUAGUUUGUAUUUCUCUGAUUAUUAUGGAUGUUGAACACGUUGUAAUGCAUUUAUUGGCUAUUGGUUUCUUCUUCUGUGAAGGAUUUAUGUAAAGCUUUUGCUCAUUUUUCAGUUGAAUUGUCUUUUCUUUUUGAUUUGUAAAAAUUCUAGAUGAUCCUUAUUUUAAAUAAUAUGUGUUGCAAAUACUCGUGGCUUACCUUUUGUGUUCUUUUUUUUUCUUAAAUUUGUUUUUGAGAGAGAGGGAGAGAGACAGAAUGCAAGUGGGGGAGGGGCAGAGAGAGAUGGAGACACAGAAUCCGAAACAGGCUCCAGGCUCUGAGCUGUCCACACAGAGCCCAACGCAGGAGGGCUCGAACUCACGAACUGUGAGAUUAUGACCUGAGCCAAAGUCGAAUGCUUUACCAACUAAGCCACCCCAGGUGCCCCUACCUUUCAUGUUCUUUAUGGUAGAAUUAGUAUUUUCUUAAUUUUAGUGUAGUUGAAUUUGUCUUUAUGAUUUGAGUUUGUGUUGUUUAAGGAGUGUUUCUUCAUGGUUGUAAAAGCAGUCCCCUGUAUUUGUUUUAAUUUUAAGAGUUUUAUAAUUUUGGAGCACCUGGGUGGCUCAGUCGGUUGAGCGUCCGACUUCAGCUCAGGUCAUGAUCUCACAGUCCGUGACUACAGCUCAGAGCCUGGAGCCUGCUUCGGAUUCUGUGUCUCCCUCCCUCUCUGCCCCUCCCCCGCUCACGUUCUGUCUCUCUUUCUCUCAAAAAUAUAUCAACAUUAAAAAAAAAAAAAAAAUUUUAUAACUUUGCAAAGUGCCUGGGUGGCUCAGUAGGUUAAGCAUCUGACUCUUGAUUUGGGCUCAGGUCGUGAUCUCACGGUUCACGAGUUCAGGCCCCAAGUCGGGCUCGCACUGCCAGUGCAAAUCCUGUUUGGGAUUCUCCCUCUCUCUCUCUCCCCUCUCUCUGCUUCUCUCUCUCUCUCAAAAUAAGUAACCUUAAAAAAAAGUUUUAUAAUUUUGCUUUUCAUAUUUAAGUCUUUAAUCACCUGGAAUUGGUUUAUUGUGUGUGAUGUGAGGUAGAGGACCGGUUUUAUUUUUGUGUGUGUAUAACCAGGCGUCCCAAUACCAUCUUUUGAGAAAUCCAGCCUUUUUUCCACUAAUUUGUAUUGCCAGGUAUGUCAAAAAUGAAAUUUCCAGAAAUGCGCGAAUCCACUUCUGGGUUCCGUUUUGUUCCACUGGUCUGUCUGCUCCUGUAUCAGUACCUUCCUGUCUAGCUUUUGAAUAAUUGUUGAUAUUUGGUGUGGCACUUCCCCACCUAGUCCUUCUUUUUCAAGAAUAUUUUGAUUAUUGGCCCUUUGCUCUUCUGUAAUGUUUUUAGAAGCAGCCUGUCUUGCUCCACAAACUAACCACUUGGGAUUUUAAAUGAAAUUGCAUUAAAUUGCAUCUGUAGAUCCUUUGAGUUCUGGGCUUUCCUUAUUCCCCCCUUGCCUACUUGGACAGUCUCUCCAAGCACAUUAUGAAACACUUCUCCACACUGUUUCCUGCAUGCCAAGUUGCAGCCUUCCCUUGAGAGAAUAUAGAAUAGAUUUCAAAA